rnacentral:rRNA from 1 species
UACGUAGGAGACGAGCGUUGUCCGGAGUUACUGGGCGUAAAGCGCACGUAGGCGGCUUUCUAAGUCGGAGGUGAAAUCCUGGAGCUCAACUCCAGAACUGCCUUCGAUACUGGAGAGCUUGAGUCCGGGAGAGGUGAGUGGAACUGCGAGUGUAGAGGUGAAAUUCGUAGAUAUUCGCAAGAACACCAGUGGCGAAGGCGGCUCACUGGCCCGGUACUGACGCUGAGGUGCGAAAGCGUGGGGAGCAAACAGG